CGGGGCGUGGCGCAGUUGGCUAGCGCACCUGAAUGGGGUUCAGGGGGUUCGCUGGUUCGAAUCCAGCCGUCCCGACCA
rnacentral:tRNA from 1 species